CACGCGCAACACCUCCAAGCAAUAAUCCUUCCCACCAAUAAGGAGCAAAGGCCCGGGGUGUGGACGGACUUUCCUGUUAUAGAGAAGUAAGAGACAGCAGCAGGAGGGACUGGACUGGAUUGUAGAAAACUUCAAGAGUUAAGGAGUGCGGAGUGCUGCUCAGGUGCCUUUGUUUCAGGUCAUAGUCUCUGUUCUAUAUAGCAGCCAACCACAAGGGUUGAUUG
rnacentral:lncRNA from 1 species